AGGACCAAGGCGCUCGCCAGAGUCCGCGCCGCCAUCCCUGGCGGGAACCAGGGACCGAGGACUGUGCGGGGACGGGGACGUGGACGGGCUCCGCGCCGGUGAUGGGGGAGGGGUUCCGAACGCCCGCGGAUUGUGGGAGGGAGGAGGCUCCGAACAGUCGGGAAGCCUAGUGGAGGAGGGGACUGGGGACAAGGGGGCUGCCAACACCCAGCGACGGAGACGGGGACUCCGACAUGGCACUUGUUGGAGGGUCUCACGAAACUCAGGAACUGGGUCUCUUCUGAGGUAGACAGACCACAACUGCAGAGCAUCGUCAGACAGGAGAUAAAUACGUCCAUGUACAACACGCAGCAAAAUGAGGACCUCUUGAGGGAAGCCCAGUCACCCAAAGGAACAGAUGAUUCUCUAACUUCAGAUGGCCCACACCGCAUUCCCCUUCGAGGCAGCCCAGCAACCUGGGGAAGGAACAUAGUGUGGCGGGAAGAGUCCUGCCCAAGGCCACCAGCCCAAAAGGGGCAGAAUUGGCACUUGCACUCAAGGACUUUGCUUCAGCCCUGAACACAGCCUCUAAUCCUGUACUGUCCAAUGACA
rnacentral:lncRNA from 10 species